UUGAAAGGGAAACGAUUGAAGUCAGUCGUACCGACGGAGGAUCAACCUUUGAAAGCGGGUCGAGGUAUGAGGAGUUUAAAAGCCCUCUUGCGCUCACGUACUUCGUUUUCUUUGGUGCACUUCUUCGUAUGGUAGGUUAACAUCAAUUUUGGACGUUACAAAAUGAUCGGGGGAAUGUAGCUUCGAUUUUUUCGAAGUGUUAUAGACCUUGGUAGAUGUGACGACCGGGAUUGAGGAUUGCAACGAAUGCUUUCGGGCUAUCCGUCUGACCUCUGGUGGUUGCUUUGGGGUCGAAAGCGUGCUUACGACUUUUAAGUUGGCCAUCAAAAGGCUAGAACGUGAUUAAAUUCGUUAAGGAUGUUGACGUA
rnacentral:rRNA from 1 species